rnacentral:rRNA from 1 species
GAUGAACGCUAGCGGCAGGCCUAAUACAUGCAAGUCGAACGGGAUCCAGAUCAAAGCUUGCUUUGGUUUGGUGAGAGUGGCGCACGGGUGCGUAACGCGUUAGCAACCUACCCUUGUCAGGGGGAUAGCCCGGCGAAAGUCGGAUUAAUACCGCAUGACAUCAUUGAGAGGCAUCUUUCGAUGAUCAAAGAUUUAUCGGACAAGGAUGGGCUCGCGUGACAUUAGCUAGUUGGUAAGGUAACGGCUUACCAAGGCUACGAUGUCUAGGGGCUCUGAGAGGAGAAUCCCCCACACUGGUACUGAGACACGGACCAGACUCCUACGGGAGGCAGCAGUAAGGAAUAUUGGUCAAUGGACGGAAGUCUGAACCAGCCAUGCCGCGUGCAGGAAGACGGCCCUAUGGGUUGUAAACUGCUUUUAUACGGGAACAAACGUCGGUACGUGUACCGGUCUGAGUGUACCGUAAGAAUAAGGAUCGGCUAACUCCGUG